ACGAGCGCUGGCGGCAUGCCUAACACAUGCAAGUCGAACGAGACCUUCGGGUCUAGUGGCGCACGGGUGCGUAACGCGUGGGAACCUGCCCUUAGGUUCGGAAUAACUCCCCGAAAGGGGUGCUAAUACCGGAUAAUGUCUUCGGACCAAAGAUUUAUCGCCUUUGGAUGGGCCCGCGUUGGAUUAGCUAGUUGGUAGGGUAAAAGCCUACCAAGGCGACGAUCCAUAGCUGGUCUGAGAGGAUGAUCAGCCACACUGGGACUGAGACACGGCCCAGACUCCUACGGGAGGCAGAAGGGGGGAAUAGUGGACAAGGGGCGAAAGCCUGAUCCAGCAAUGCCGCGUGAGUGAUAAAGGCCUUAGGGUUGUAAAGCUCUUUUACCCGGGAUGAUAAUGACAGGACGGGGAGAAUAAGCUCCGGCUACCUCCG
rnacentral:rRNA from 1 species